AGACUUAACCGAUCGGAUGUGGGAGAGAAAUAUUUACUCCCGGUUGAUAACUCCAACUGGGACUAAAGAUCGAUCUUUAGUCCCGGUUGGUAUUACCAACCGGGAGUAAAGAUCGCUCGAUCUUUAGUCCUGGUUGGUAGUAUCAACCGGGACUAAAGAUUCUCGAACCCCUGACAUACAUCUGACAGGGGAUGAACCGGGACUACAAAUCAUCUUUAGCCCCGAUUGGUGUUACUAACCGGGACUAAAGAUCAAAAUUUUUUAAACCGGGACUAAAAAUCGUUUUUAGUCCCGGUUUUUAAUGGAAACGGGACUAUUGUGAAAUUUGGUCGACUGACCAAAGAUGGUUUCUUCAACAGUGUAUAGUCCGUUCACAAAAAGAGAAAAAAAGACUGGUAUUUCAGCUUCUCUAGAAGUUAGUGCGGAGUUUAUAAAAAAAGAACUGCUAUUUCAGUUACACUGAUCAGAAGAUUGUGCUGUGAUAAUUAGUAGAAAACACAAUCAAGUUGUAGGGUAAUUUCAGAGUUCAGGUAAAAUGCAAUCUUCUCAGUACUAUAAAAUGACUACUGAAAGCCAGUAAUGUUGAUCAGAAACAAUCAUCAUGUACUAGAGAAGUAAAGCCAAGCAGCCAAGCAUAGAUCGGCAGCAUAUAUACCCCAUACUAUGCACAGUUCGCAAGACCUAUAUCGCUUCAUUCUGAGUAUUGCAUUACUAGUUUCUUAUCACUUUUUUUUUUGACCAGGAGUUUCUUAUCACUUAAUCAAUGCCAUACAAAAGACUGGACGAAGUGCCUAAAAAGACUUAUACAACUAGCAGACAGAGUUUCAAAAGAUACAAGUAAGAAUAUAAGAUUGAUGAUGAGUGGUUAAGAAAUUUAUUUCUUUAGUGAAGAUCAAAAAUGAGGGUCUUUUUCGAAAAAAAAAAGAUCAAAGACGAGGGAAGAGCCUAGACAAAAGCCUAGUAGACAGAGUUUCAAAAGAUACAAGGAAGAAUAUAAGAUUGAUGAUAAGUGGCUAAGACAUUUAUUUUUAAGUGAAGAUCAAAGUCGAGGGAAGAGCCUAGACAAAAGCCAGGACCAUCGAAUUAUAGAGUUAUAUCCUUUGGAAAAGAUUCCUUAGGUUUUUUUUGGGUGGUGUGCCUUUUUUUCAGCAUACCCUGUAAAUAUUGUUUGCACCUUGUGUGUUUGUCCCUGUUCUAUCAAUAUACACGUAGACAAAACUUUUGCCAGUCUUAGGAAAAAAGAAAUUUCAUACUUGGUAAUUUCUUAAAACAUUAUUAUAUCAAUAUAAACACGUGCUCAAAUAGCCUACAUAUUAAUUUUAUUGUUUGAAUAUAUUAAUUACCAGCACACUUGAUCAGACAAAAGAUUGUUUGUGAUAAACUUUUCCUUUUCAACGUUUAAUUAGUUUUUUUUUCUUCUCCUUUAUUCAUUCCAGAUAUAUUUGCCCAAAAAAAGCAUCUGAACAGUUGGCACCGAGAAACGAUGUUAUUAGUACCAAAUUAAACUAGAUGGAUGAAGAUUAACAUAGAGGAGUAGUUCUAUUUUGACCAAAUCAAAUGUGAUGCAUAUGU
rnacentral:lncRNA from 1 species